UUUGUAUUGUGGAUAGUGCAACCACACAUACAAUUCUUAAAAGUGUAAAAUAUUUCUGCCUUUUGAAAAGGAAUGAGGCAUUUGUCACUACAAUAUGUGGUAGUGCAAAAAUGAUUGAAGGUUCUGGAAGAGCCAAUAUAUUAUUGCCUGGAGGAACAAAAGUUAUAAUAAAUGAUGCAUUGUUCUCUCCAAAGUCUCACAGAAAUUUAUUGAAUUUGACUAUUUUGUUG